rnacentral:rRNA from 1 species
UAGUAGUAGUUAUGUUCUUGAAAAUUAAAAGAGUUGGCGGUAUUUUAGUCUAUUCAGAGGAACCUGUUCUAUGAUUGAUGGUCCACGAGAUUUUUUACUUGAUUUAUUAGUUUACAUAUCGUCGUAGUUUGAAUAUUUUUUAAAAAUUUAAAUGUUCAAGAUUUUUUUACAUAAAGGAAUUCAGGUCAAGAUGUAGUUUAUAGUUAAGAAGAGAUGGGUUACAGUAGGAGUACUUAGACGAAUUAAGUUAUGAAAAUAUUUAUGAAGGCGGAUUUGAGGGUAAU